rnacentral:rRNA from 1 species
UACGAAGGGGGCGAGCGUUGUUCGGAUUUACUGGGCGUAAAGGGCGCGCAGGCGGCUCAUUUUGUCAGGCGUGAAAGCCCCGGGCUUAACCUGGGAACUGCGUUUGAUUACGGAUGGGCUAGAGUUCGGGAGAGGUGAGUGGAACUGCGAGUGUAGAGGUGAAAUUCGUAGAUAUUCGCAAGAACACCAGUGGCGAAGGCGGCUCACUGGCCCGAUACUGACGCUGAGGCACGAAAGCGUGGGGAGCAAACAGG